GUGAGUAGCGCCCUGCUGGUGAGCUUGUGGGAGGAGGUUAAAUGGCUCUGUUGGUUCCAGAUGGAAGCUAAUAGGCCACACCUGGGCUUGUAAUUCUGUGCCUGUGGGCUCAAAGCCUGACUCAGCCAAACACACACACCAUGAGCUCUCCAAUCUGUGGUCUGCAGUUUGGCCGGUCAGCGCAAUUCUCAGGCUUCAGAGUCAGUCUGGCCCAACCGUCAUUGCAGCAGUUCACUGCUUUCUUUAGCCUUUUUAUUGUCGCCAUAUCCAGAAACAAACAGCAGGAAUGUGCAAUGUGCAAUUCUUAAUUUGCACAGUGCCUUGAGUUGCAAAGUACCUCUCAUUACAUGUCCAUGCAGGCCACAAACUCCACUUCCCAGAAUACACCGCGACUUACUAAGAUAGCCGCUCCGAACUACCUUCCCCCAGAAACCACAACAGCUUCUCUGCUCCCAAACACCGGGCUUCCAAUCACAUGUGUGACAAGUUGAAAUGUGUUAAGUUAAAUAGUCCAAUGUUUAAAGAAGAGAGUUAAGAGUGUUUGUUUUUCACUGUUGUUCCAUUUUCAUGUGUUGAGACAUUGAUAAUUCAAGUAAGUAUAAUGCUGACCAGUCAUCUAUUAGGAUGGUCUGAAUCCUGCACUCUGGUAUCGAUUGCUUUAGUCUCUGCCCACAUACCUGGAGGAAAAGCAGUAAUUUUCCAUUUGAGUAAAGCUCUCGUGGAAGUAACACCUACCGUCAUGCUUAUGUCUUAUUUCUCCUUUAUAUAGAUGCAGCAGGAUUUGUGCCACGCUCUUUUUGCCCAGGGACAAUUAAUGGGAACACAGCAACAACAUCUGUGCAAUCUGUACUUUGCAAGUCACAAAGGGAUGUCGGAAGCAAACAACAUCGCACACUUCAUGAAUCUCCUCAAUGUGCUUACUGUAAGUGGGCUAUGGCAGUGUGGGAG
ensembl:lncRNA